UACGGAGGGUGCGAGCGUUGUCCGGAAUCACUGGGCGUAAAGGGCGCGUAGGCGGCUCAUGAAGGCUGUGGUGAAAGUCCGGGGCUCAACCUCGGAUCGGCCGUGGCGACUCGUGGGCUGGAGCACUGUAGAGGCGGGUGGAAUUCCGGGUGUAGCGGUGGAAUGCGCAGAUAUCAGGAGGAACACCGGUGGCGAAGGCGGGUCUCUGGGCCGAUACUGACGCUGAGGAGCGAAAGCGUGGGGAGCGAACAGG
rnacentral:rRNA from 1 species